CUGGCUGUGAUGAAGCAUUAACACGUAAGAAGAACCUUCAUUACUUGGUUUCUUCAAUGAAAUAUACUACGCUUGGCUUCUGAGCUUG